rnacentral:tRNA from 1 species
UAGCUCAGUGGCAUAAGCACCUGCCUUGCAAGCAGGCAGUCUUGGGUUUGAUUCCCAG